CAGCCCACAAAACAGCUGCUUUGAGCUGCUACCUAAGCUUCUGGAAAGGGUAUAUCUGUCCCACACCAGAAGUCGCUGAUUUACUGUACAGUUAUCUGCAUAGAGCUCAUUGGGGGUAUCAGGUGGUCGGUAGCAGAGGCAGCGGCGAUCGACAGGUUGUACGCACGCAGCAUUGCCAGGCAAAAAUUAGCUGACUGCUAUGGAAUGCAGCCCAAACCGGAACAAACUGUUAUUUUGAACGCAUUGACGGGCUAACAGCUUGGUUUCUUUUAUUUUUGCAAAUUUUUACUCCAUAAAUGUAUUUGAUGUUAGGAAUAUCAUAAUAUUUGUAGUUGUACAUUUCGUUUUCCAUUAACUUGACUUGGUUUAACAUUUAUUGUGGCAAAUUGUGAUGUUUUGUCCCUUGGUUGAUAACACAAAGAAAAGUACAGACAAACGUUUGGUAUUCCAUUCUAUGCAAAAGUACUUCUGUAAUUAUUACAGGGUGCGAAUAUUGUUUAACAUUUAUUUGUAUUUGAAUUACUGUUACUGUUACAUUUACGUUUUCAUUUUUGUACCGUUGGAAAUAUACAUACGCUUUUGUUUGGUUAUUACUCGUAUUUGUUGUAAUUAAAUUACGUUUGCCAGUUUAGUUUACCCUGCCGCAUACAGUUUGUUUGAAAAAUAUAUGUAAAUACUAUGCCUAUCUUAUCCCAUUGAAUACUGAGAUAAAUACAUACGAGUAUGUGUAGAUUUCAAGUGUUACGCUUUCGCCUUCACUUGUCUUUGUCCUUGUCUUUGUUUUUUUGUUUCCUUCUUUUGUUUUGUUUUGAUUUGUUUUUUCAAAAAUAGAUGUGUAAAAGUACAUAGAUCAUAUGAUGCGUGUAUGUAUGCAUGUAUGUAUAUGUGUAAAUAUGUUUGUUUGGAUGUACAAUAGUUAAAGUUAGUUUCGUUGAUGGAUUGGUUUUACAUUUUGUUAAAAGUUUAUUGGAGCGUAGCUCAAAAAUGUCUUCUUAUCUUCUUCUUUCAUUGUGUGUGUUUCAGGACAUGUAGCUUAAGUCUUACAAAAUUAUAAAUCAUCGAGUUUUGUUGUCUUUGAGCGGUUUCAAAUGUAUAGUGCACCAGUAUGAAAUGGCAAAUCGGUAGAUUUCUAUGCAUCUUUCCCUCAAAGUUGAUCAAAAACAGUAUUUGGUCAAGAGGCCUCACAAGCAAGUGUGUCAUAAGAGGAUAUAUUGUAAAUCCACAAAUCCACAAUCAGACCUGCUUAUCGGCUUUCUCCUGCCAUAACAGGACUUUCUUAGGCAACUUUACGAAUGAACGUACAGAUAUCGUUGAAUCUAUUUGGAAAUUCAAUUUUCACGAGACAAAAAUGAGGUGGUUGUAUACCACAUCCUAAUACUUGGAUUUUCGGGAGUGUAUUGCAAAUUCUAAGCAAGGGAAUGCUAUUUCUGUCUCGUG